rnacentral:rRNA from 1 species
UACGUAGGGGGCUAGCGUUGUCCGGAUUUAUUGGGCGUAAGGAGCGUGUAGGCGGCCAGGUAGGUCUGCUGUGAAAACUCGAGGCUUAACCUCGAGAUGUCGGCGGAAACCAUCUGGCUAGAGUCCGGAAGAGGAGAGCGGAAUUCCUGGUGUAGCGGUGAAAUGCGCAGAUAUCAGGAGGAACACCCGUGGCGAAGGCGGCUCUCUGGACAGUUCCUGACACUGAGGCACGAAGGCUAGGGGAGCAAACGGG